GUACUCAUUUUGUCAGCACAUAUACUAAAAUUGGAAUAAUACAGGGAAUUUUAACAUUGCCCCUGCACCAGGAUGAGACAAAUUUGUGAAGUAUUCGUAUUUUCA